GACGAACGCUGGCGGCGUGCCUAAUACAUGCAAGUAGAACGCUGAAGGAGGAGCUUGCUUCUCUGGAUGAGUUGCGAACGGGUGAGUAACGCGUAGGUAACCUGCCUGGUAGCGGGGGAUAACUAUUGGAAACGAUAGCUAAUACCGCAUAAUAGUAGAUGUUGCAUGACAUUUGCUUAAAAGGUGCAAUUGCAUCACUACCAGAUGGACCUGCGUUGUAUUAGCUAGUUGGUGGGGUAACGGCUCACCAAGGCGACGAUACAUAGCCGACCUGAGAGGGUGAUCGGCCACACUGGGACUGAGACACGGCCCAGACUCCUACGGGAGGCAGCAGUAGGGAAUCUUCGGCAAUGGACGGAAGUCUGACCGAGCAACGCCGCGUGAGUGAAGAAGGUUUUCGGAUCGUAAAGCUCUGUUGUAAGAGAAGAACGAGUGUGAGAGUGGAAAGUUCACAC
rnacentral:rRNA from 2 species